GCCGUAUCGACCCGGUCAGUAUCGAAGCAAACGCGUUAAGUGUCCCGCCUGGGGAGUACGCACGCAAGUGUGAAACUCAAAGGAAUUGACGGGGGCCCGCACAAGCGGUGGAGUAUGUGGUUUAAUUCGAUGCAACGCGAAGAACCUUACCAGGGAUUGACAUCCUACGAAUCUUCUUGAAAGGGAAGAGUGCCUUCGGGAACGUAGAGACAGGUGGUGCAUGGCUGUCGUCAGCUCGUGUCGUGAGAUGUUGGGUUAAGUCCCGCAACGAGCGCAACCCUCGUCCUUAGUUGCCAUCAUUAAGUUGGGCACUUUAAGGAGACUGCCGGUGACAAACCGGAGGAAGGUGGGGAUGACGUCAAGUCAUCAUGCCCCUUACAUCCUGGGCUACACACGUACUACAAUGCAACGGACAAAGGGCAGCCAACUAGCGAUAGUGCGCAAAUCCCAUAAACCGUUGCUCAGUUCAGAUUGCAGGCUGCAACUCGCCUGCAUGAAGGCGGAAUCGCUAGUAAUCGCAGGUCAGCAUACUGCGGUGAAUACGUUCCCGGGCCUUGUACACACCGCCCGUCACACCAUGGAAGUUGGCCACGCCCGAAGUCGUUACCCCAACCGUUUACGGAGGGGGACGCCGAAGGCAGGGCUGAUGACUGGGGUGAAGUCGUAACAAGGUAACC
rnacentral:rRNA from 1 species